CCCUUAGAUGUUCUGGGCUGCACGCGCGCUACACUGAUGCGAUCAACAAGUUUUUCCUAUGUCGAUAGACACGGGUAAUCUUUUGAACUCGCAUCGUGAUGGGGAUAGAUUAUUGUAAUUAUUAAUCUUCAACGAGGAAUUCCUAGUAGGUGCAAAUCAUCAGUUUGCAUCGAUUACGUCCCUGUCCUUUGUACACACCGCCCGUCGCUGCUACCGAUUGGUUGAUCUGGUGAAUUAUUCGGACUGCCGGCUGAAGGGGUUUCCUCAUCUGCCAGCGGAAAGUCUUGUUAACCCUAUCAACUAGAGGAAGCAGAAGUCGUAACA
rnacentral:rRNA from 1 species